rnacentral:rRNA from 1 species
GACGAACGCUGGCGGCGUGCCUAAUACAUGCAAGUAGAACGCUGAAGGAGGAGCUUGCUUCUCUGGAUGAGUUGCGAACGGGUGAGUAACGCGUAGGUAACCUGCCUGGUAGCGGGGGAUAACUAUUGGAAACGAUAGCUAAUACCGCAUAAUAGUAGAUGUUGCAUGACAUUUGCUUAAAAGGUGCAAUUGCAUCACUACCAGAUGGACCUGCGUUGUAUUAGCUAGUUGGUGGGGUAACGGCUCACCAAGGCGACGAUACAUAGCCGACCUGAGAGGGGGAUCGGCCACACUGGGACUGAGACACGGCCCAGACUCCUACGGGAGGCAGCAGUAGGGAAUCUUCGGCAAUGGACGGAAGUCUGACCGAGCAACGCCGCGUGAGUGAAGAAGGUUUUCGGAUCGUAAAGCUCUGUUGUAAGAGAAGAACGAGUGUGAGAGUGGAAAGUUCACACUGUGACGGUAUCUGACCAGAAAGGGACGGCUAACUACGUG